rnacentral:rRNA from 1 species
UACGUAGGGGGCAAGCGUUGUCCGGAUUUAUUGGGCGUAAAGCGCUCGCAGGUGGUUCGAUGCGUCGUGCGUGAAAGACCCCGGCUCAACUGGGGAGGGUCGUGCGAUACGGUCGAACUGGAGGCCAGUAGGGGGAUGCGGAAUUCCGGGUGUAGUGGUGGAAUGCGUAGAGAUCCGGAGGAACACCAGCGGCGAAGGCGGCAUCCUGGACUGGUCCUGACACUCAUGAGCGAAAGCGUGGGGAGCGAGUACCGG